AUAAGCUUCAAAAUGGGAAAGGGAGGCAGAGCGCCAUCCUGCAAAUUGCUCUAUCACCUGUGAAGUGCCAUGAAACCAUGAAAGGGCCUUCCUUUUUGAAGCAAAGGAUGAAUAAGGAAAUAUUUCAUCUGUGCUGAGCAUAGAAGAGGAAGUUGGUUUUAAGACACAGAUCACUUAUCUUCUGGAUGAAAGACAGAUCGGAUUUCCAAAACUUCCAUUUUCCCAUUUCAUGUCGUCCGCAAGGAAAACGGCUGAAGAUGAAGACAGCACACUUUGAGAGAUUGAAUAAACAUCCCCCAAACAGCAGAAGGAGUAGCCAGAACACAGAUUUACUUGCCUAGCUUCAAAUCCAGUAUGUUUACCAGGCAUUCAGGUUAGAGAGUCUCUACAAUCUCUUUCUUCCAAAGAGCUGUCCUCCAUCGACACCGAACACCUGUAGUUUUAAUACAGCUUCCGCACACAGAGUUUCCUUGCUUUCUCUUGCUUGGAUUUUGGAUUAUAUCAUUACAAGGUCAUUGAAGUUUAUUACAGGGAAACCGAUGUCCAAAGAGUAUCAAGAAACUGAAGCUUCCCAGAGCCCAACUCCUCGGCUUCCUGGCACCAGAAUCCACCAUCUAGCACGAAGGCAGACAACCAAGGACAUUAACCUGCAGAUCCCCUCAUCUCAUCAUCUACCCUCUCUGCUAGCAGUCUGACAAAGCCAAACACAGUCUGGUGGGAAAGCACUGACCAGCAAGGUCACGGGCUCCCCUUCCCUACAAGCAGCAAAACUUUAAAACCCUUUAUCCCCUUCUUAAUGGAGAGCCAGAAGUCCCUAAGCCAUUAGCCAACUGGUAUUCCCUUUGCCUGGCAAAGAAAAUAAUGAAACCCUUUUUUUCCUUUUCACCCAAAACUCUGUUCUCAUUUGGAUUGGCACUGAGUUCGGAGACCGAACUUUCAGUAACAACCUCACAAUUUACAAAUGUGUGGAAAAACUCUCUUUUCCCCCAACUUUCUGUUUUGAUAAAUUUCAAACCAGCAGCAAAUUUGAAAGAAGAGUAUAGUAUAAACACCCAUGUAUUCUUCAUAUAUUCACACACAUUUUUGCUGAACCAUUUUUAAAUAAGUUGCAUAAACCAUGACUCUAAAUAGCUCUGUAUGUAGCUCUCAAAAAUUAGAACUGAAAAAAAGCAUGAGGAUGUUUUCCAACAUAAUCACAAUAAUUACAUAAUUAUAACUCUCAAGGGUUUUUAAAUUGAUAAAAUAGUCCUAUUUUAUGUACAGUCCUUUACCAAAUGGCCUCAGUUGUCCCAAUAAUGACCUUUAUAGCUAUUUUGUUGUUGUUAUAUUGAAGCAAGAUCCAAUCAAGGACUGCAUGUUACAGUUAACUGUCAUAACUCUUUAGUCUCUUCACAUUGAAAACUUUGCCCUGUCUUUUAAAAAAAUUCUCGUAUAAUAUUGAAACUUUUGAAAAACCCAAGUCAGCUGCUUUUGUGGUAUAAUAAUUGCAUUUAUCUAAUUGGCAUCUCAUGCUUCAAUUCAGAAUUAAACAUUUGCAGUAAGAAUGCUACAUGGUUGGGGAUGGAUUCUGCUCAGUUAUCUUACUAGGAGUCAUAUAAUGUCAGUUUGAUCUAUUAUUGGUGAUAUUUGUUUUCUCCAUUGUAAAGGUACUUUUUGCCCGUUGUAAUUAUUUUUUUAAACUCUAUUUUAAAUAAAAUUUAAAUAAACCUACCUAUUUUUUUUUU
ensembl:lncRNA